UACUGGUCAGUCUAAAAGGGGAAGGACAAAUGGCCAAGGUUAGAUACUUUUCCUUCUAAGUUUCUCGUAUCAAAUAUGGAUUUUGUAUUAAGAUAACAUUACACAAAAGAGUAUUACUCCUUUGAGAUGUUUGGGCUGUAAAGCAGUUUAAUACUUCUCGGAUUAUGUCUAUUAAUAUCACACCACCCGACCCACAUGUGAGUGUGCUAAAAUAUUUGGGAUGUGUCAAGGUUGUCUAAUAAUAAUGUUUUACAUUUGUCAAAAGUGAACCUCUCAUUUUCCAAAGCUCUUGAAAAUUCAAGAACCUUGAGUGAUAGUGAGAGGACACUUACAGAUAGUUUUGGAGACAUCCAAGGUAUAGAUCAUGGUGGUGAAUCAGAAGUAGAUUCUAUAGUGGUGCUUUCUCAGGGAAAAAGGGAGGGAUUGGUCGAUACAACUGCGACAACACAUGCUAGCAGUAUUAGAAGCAUCCAAAAGAUCGAUCUUGGUGAUGAAUCUAAAGUUGUUUCUACAGACAUUAUUUCUAUUAAGAAACAAGAAGUAUACUCUAUUGGCAAAGAAAACUCGUCCAACAUCCAAAGUGCAAACAAAGUCAAAAAAGGAGCUCGAGAAGAUAAUGGUGGGCAUAAAACUCGGGUUAGUAUAUUUAUAUCUUUCAGUUUUGUAUGUUUAUUUUUAGGACAUAUGUACCCACUUUUCCUGCCUUCGAUUUAGAGAAAAUAUAAUGAGUACUCCCUCUGUCCCAUAAUAUAAGAACGUUUUUGGCACUAUACUAGGGUAAAAAACGUUCUUAUAUUAUGGGACGGAGGGAGUAGUUUAGGUUAUGAUAUAUGCUAUGGUGAUCACGUUUAGCAUUGGUCAUAUGUUGACUAUCGAGUAUGCUAUGAGACUAUAUUGGUUUUAGCUAUUUCUUUGUGGAAUAAACUAGUUCAUUAGUGAUGUUUUAUGGAUGUAUAUUCUAAAUAUGUCUGCAUGUGUGAGAACAUUCCUUCUUUUACCAUAAAUCGCAUAUAUUACAAUGUGUGAUGUGUGUAUUAUGUGUUUAUAUUGCUCAUGCCUUUUAACUUUUUUAUACUAACAUACUCUUAUAUUCCCUUGCAGAAAUCAAUAAAUCCUAAUUUACAAGGAAAUGGUAUGCAUGAAUAUGAUUGUGUAAUUUUUUAUACAUGCUUGUAUAUACAAACCUUAUCCAUGUGUUAAAUAUUUUUAUGUAUAUUCCGCUAUUUUAUUUUGAGAUUGUAUGUUUUGCUCCCAAGCUCCAUGGAGCCCUAUUUUGAAAAAAAAAUCAAUAAUAAUAAAAUCUGAAGAAAAAAUACACAUGAACAUUGAGAUGGAUACUACAUUUCUGUCAAGUUUCAUGAUCAAAUACUCUUUUGUGUGAUCCAUAUAAUAAAUAAAAUCAUAACUUUGAUACUGAAUAGUACAUGUGCUAGAAAGAGAUGAUUUUAUUGUGUAGCUUGAACUUCAACGAAUUUCAUUGUGAAACUUUACGAGAUGUAAUAUACAUCCCUAGGUUCCUAUGUAUCUAUUGUCAAAAAAUGAAAAUUUAAACGUGGUUUUUGUAUUUUUUUUAAAUAGCCUCAAUGGAGCCUGAAAUCCAAAAAUAAUUGCUGGGAGAUUAGAGGAUAAAUGGGUAACAGAUUCAAAAUAAUUAUUUAUAUAUUGAUUAAGUUAACAUUUCUAACUUGUUUCAACCUUCAAGUUUAUAAUUUUAGACCCACGGCAUUUACUUGUUCUCGCUAAUAUGUACAGGCACUGGAGAGUCCAAAAGAGGAAGGACAAAUGGCCAAGGUUAGAUACUUUUCCUUUUGAGUUUCUCAUAUCAAAUAUGGAUUAUUAAUAAGAUAGCAUUACACGGAAGAGUAUUAUUCCUUUGAGACGUUUGGGUUGUAAAGCAUUUUAAUAAUCUGGUAUUAUGUCUAUUAUUAUCAUACCGCCCAACCCACAUGGUGACAUGUCAAAGUUAUCUAAGAAAAAUAUUUUACCUUUGUAAAGAGUGCAUCUCUCAUUUUCAAAAGCUCUUGAAAAUUCAAACCUAUGUCCAAAGGAAUUUCACUGUCAACUUUUUAUUGCAUAUGCAGAUCAAAGUCAGUUCAUCAGAGGAAGGAGGGUGCCAACUUCAGACAAUCUUCCACAUGGUUUUGUGUAAUACGUCUCGGAGGAAUUGAUUCCUAGGAUGCAACUCAAAAUUUAAAUUUUCUAAUAUCUAUUCUGUGGUACACUAGACAUUUGUUAUGUUAAAUUUAUAAUUUUGCAUGGAUCUAUGCAAUUUCCUAGAAAUGUUGGUUGUAUUAAAAAAUUGAACAUAUUUGUUCUACCAUUUUGUCUUGG
rnacentral:lncRNA from 1 species